rnacentral:rRNA from 1 species
UUACGGGAGGCAGCAGUAGGGAAUUUUCGGCAAUGGGGGAAACCCUGACCGAGCAAUGCCGCGUGAAUGACGAAGGUCUUCGGACUGUAAAAUUCUGUUAUAGAGGAAGAAAGAUAUGGCUAGGAAAUGAGCUGUAUUUGACGGUACUUUAUGAGUAAGCCCCGGCUAACUAUGUGCCAGCAGCCGCGGUAAUACAUAGGGGGCGAGCGUUAUCCGGAUUUAUUGGGCGUAAAGCGUGCGUAGGCGGCUGAUUAAGUCUGGUGUGAAAUUUCUCGGCUUAACCGAGAAGGGUCAUUGGAAACUGGUCAGCUUGAAUGCAGGAGAGGUAAGUGGAAUUCCAUGUGUAGCGGUAAAAUGCUUAGAUAUAUGGAGGAACACCAGUGGCGAAGGCGGCUUACUGGCCUGAGAUUGACGCUGAUGCACGAAAGCGUGGGUAGCAAACAGGAUUAGAUACCCCGGUAGA